GAAACUAAAAAUUUCAUAUCAAAGGCAGCUCUUUUAGAAAAAAGAAAAAGGAAAGAGCAAUCCCCUAAAAGCCAACGGUUACAAAAAAGAUCUCCAGCUGGCACUAUUAUUCACAAAGCUGUAAUUACAAAAGUUUUUAGAAAGAAGCGGCACCAUGUAGAAGUAAAAAUGUGAACAAGAUCCCAAAAGCCCUGAAAAGAUAUGCUUCAAUGCCUUUUAGAACUCUUUGGUUCCUUUCAAACCAUAUCCUCCGUAGGAUACUGUAGCUGACACCACGUUUCAGCAGUUUUGCCAAAUAACCAAAGCUUUCCUUUUUAAUGAAGAACCAACAAAAAGCUGGAGCAAAGCCUCCUUGCAACACUUGGGGAAACACCAGCUUAAACCGAAAAUCCUUAAGAAUUUGGACCACACAGCAUUUGCAAAGUCGUAAAACAUGAAGAGAUGGGGAUGAGACUCCGUUUCUGCUUUACACAUGACGCACCAGCUUGCCCUUUCUUCUGAGUCCUAUAACAAGUAUUCAGCUUCUCUUGGUUAAGGAUCUGAAGGAACACUUUCACCUUCUAGGGAUAUUAGAUUUCCAGUUGCAUCUGGUUUAAUCUGAGGGGAUAUUGCGUCGUAAUUUUAGCGGUCGGUAAACUUACCGAGAGUCCUCCAGAGCUACUUAAACUCCAAACUUUUGUGUCUUGCUUACUGUGCUUGAGCGAUGAAAAAUACUGCUGAAGACUAAUCCAUAAAUUUCCCUUUCAGUGAGGUUCCUUCUAGAUAUCGUCUUCCACGGAUGGGACUCUUCUGACCACAUUUGCUGAACCAUGGUCUCUUUGCAUUGAAUGAUUCUAAAGCUCCUCGAAAAUCUAUUACAUAAAGGUCCACAUCCUGCCCAAUCAUCAAGCCAGAACAUGACUUUUUCUCCAUUCCCCAAAUCUGCAUUUAUACCAUCUGUCAACCAGCCCACAGCACUUGGCUAUAGCCAGUCCAAGGGCCUUUAAAACAAGUUUGAGCGGUGCACAUGGGGAGGGAUCCCUCAAUCCUUUCUGCCUUAAUAUUUGUUAGCAAUCACCUUCCUCCAUAAGGAAUUAUGUUCUCUCAUAUAUCUCUAGCCGCCGCACUUUGCUAAAAGGCUAAUGUUUCUAGUCCUCCAAAUCGCCCACACUCAUACCACCUUUACACACGGGCGGAGAAGUAAUCUUCCAUUAUCAAGUUAUCAAGUUAGAGCCGUUGUCCUUAUCAUUUCCUUUCCAAAGGAAGUCCCUCAUAUGCUGCUUCUUCUUCUUCUUCUUCUUCUUCUUCUUCUUUUUUUUUUUUCCUCUUUCUGCUGAUAAGAAUCAAAGUAUUCAUUGAUCUGUAAAAAAGGAGACAACCUAAGGGCAGGGGUUGAGAAAAGCCUCCCCCAAAAACUAGACAAUGGUAGCCUUCCCAUCUCUAGCUAUCAAAUGUAGGCUAUAAUUACAAAAUAAUUUUUGUGGUAUAAAGACCACCACGAAGCAACAUGUUGUGCACUGAUACAAAAACUCUCGUCAGUGGGGUCUUUUUUUUGCCUCGUAUGCUUCUCAAGCCUUUAAUUAUGGAUUUAGGGCAUUGAAAAACUGAGAAACAGUAUAAUGGGAUGUUUGUCAAAACCGCAUUAUUCAAGGUUAAUCUCCCACCUCUUGAGCUCAGAAAACCAUUCCACUUGCCCAUUUAGAACUGAUAUUUUUUUCAAUCAGUUCCCAACAUCCUUUACACUUAGGAUUGCCCCCAAGUGCAUCCCUAGAUAACCUAUAGACCAACUACACCACACCCCCAGUUAUCAGCUGUACUUCUCACUGCUUCUUGCUGAAUAUUAAUCCCCAUUUGCAAGGUUUUAUUCAAGUUAAUUUUCAGCCCUGACAUCAUUUUGAAAAGGCCUAUAUUUGCUCGCAAAUUGGUCAGCUUCCUGCAUCAUUCAUGGCAAAAUGGAUGGUAUCAUCAGCAAACUGAAGAUGAGUUAUAUGGAUGCAAUCCUUCUCCACCACAAAUCCUUCCAGCAGGCCAGCCUCAUAAGUCAUACCCAUGAUCCAGCAAGCUACUAAAAACAUACGCAACAAUGACAAAGAGGAAGGGAUCAAGGGGAUCUAUUCUGGUACUAUGCUCCCACAUGGCCGUUGCUUUAUUUGUAGGUGUAUUAUGUACUUAGCCUUUUAUAUUUCGUCUUUUCAAUGUACUUUGAUAACCACUUAUUAUCACAGCCUCGGAUGUGUGAUUCCAUUCUGACUAUUGAUUUAACUUCACGCUGAAAGCAAGUAAGCAUUUUUACUUCAAGUAAUUGAAUGAUUAAUUUGCUCUUUUAGAAAUGAAGCAUGUUUAACUAAGGGGAUGUCACAGGAACCUGAAAGACACAUGAUCUAUUGAAGUAUUUGGGUAUUUGGAUGAAUAGAAGCAAAAAGGUUAUCGGAGAUAAUUUUAUUGGAGAGUACUGCAUGGUUUAGAGUUGUUUCAUUGCAUCACUUUGAGCCUCUAUGACUAAGCAUUUAAAGAAUUAUCUGUCUAUGGGAUUAAUGCUUCUGUUGCUAGACUAGUUGUACUUGUACCCUUUUAUUUUGUCUUUCUAGAACUUUUGUACUUGUUUCUUCCAUUGUAUUCGUUCAUUUUUUAAAAUGAAAGCUACCUCUUUCUUUCUUUCUUUCUUGUUCUUUUUAUUUUUUAUUUUUCCUUUUGGGGUUUCAGUAGGAGUACAGACUACUACUCUCUGUAAACUGGAUUUUUAAUGAAGUGUUGUUUCUUAUAAAAUAUUUGUGUUGACUUCUUGGAAUCUGAGUAACUAACUUGGUAAGCUGAAGAUGUGUUCAUUUUCUUUUGAAUAUAGUGCCUCCAUGAUUAGGUAAAUGGAUGUGAUAGAGAAUGUGUAUUUAAAGUUUGAAACAACAAGAUAUGUUAUCUAUAUGGAUAACAAGAAGAAGAAUUAGAUUCUUUUGUGAAAAUGAGAGAGAGAAUUGGAAAGCUGUACUUAGUAGCCAGCUUGAAGGUGCUAUUCAGAAAAGAUGAGGCAGAUGGUCGUUGCGGUGUUGCGUAUUUGAAAUCUUAUGAGGACAGAUCAGAGCUGCGGGUUAGUUGCUGCCCGUCCCAUGGUUCAAAGGACCAAUCUACUUCAUUGAAGGUGAAGACCUGAAUGGCUAACUUCCAUAGUCAGAUACCACAAGUUCUUAACUUUUGGCUUGGUAUGGUUUGCAUACAUGUUUGAACCUAGAACAUUAGGAACAAAAAAAAGUUGCCGAAUUGGAUGUGAAGUGGGCGACAUCAGACCAGACUGAUUCACUUGUUAGGUAAUGAUGACAGUACGAUUGCAGUUAUAGACUAACCACAUGAAUAUACGUUGUAUUAGGCUAGUCACGAUCUCUUGGACUAGCAUUAACCCAUCUCUUAGGUAGCAAGCUCGACCUCUAACGCAUGUAUUGGAACUAGGAAUUCAGUUCCUGAUUAAACACAGUUCUACUGAUCUACACGUACUGAUGGCACCUUUUUCAAUAGAGUCGCUCGGGAUUUGAAAGGGACUGCAGAUAUCCACUGAGUACUGAAGAUUGUAGUUAGCAUAGAUUUAUAGAAUGAUUAUAGUUACUGGCUGCGGGACUGUAUGUAACAUUGGACUCCCUUUGUGAAUCCAUUGAGAUUACAAACUUCAGCCGAUAAAAUUUCAAUGUCGAAUUCAUUAGUUCGGUUUCUGAUUGUAUCGACAUGGAUAGUGAUUGAUGGUUUUGUAUA